rnacentral:rRNA from 1 species
GGCGCACGGGUGCGUAACACGUAUACAACCUACCUUCAAUUGGGGGAUAACCUGGAGAAAUUCGGACUAAUAUCCCAUAGCAAACAGAAGAGGCAUCUUUUUUGUUUUAAAGAUUUAUUGAUUGGAGAUGGGUAUGCGUAGGAUUAGCUAGUUGGUAAGGUAACGGCUUACCAAGGCGACGAUCCUUAGGGGUUCUGAGAGGAAGGUCCCCCACACUGGUACUGAGACACGGACCAGACUCC